ensembl:snRNA U6 U6 spliceosomal RNA
AGUGCUCACUUCAGCAAUACAUACUAAAGCUGGAAUGAUACAGAGAAGAUUAGCAUGGCCCUUGCACAAGGAUGACACGCAAAUUCAUGGAGUGUUCCAUGUUUUU